ensembl:lncRNA
AUUUAAUUGGCCAGUUAGUGUAUUUUUUUUCCCUUCUUCCUAAACUGGUGCUCCCAUCUCAUUACUGUAAACAAAACUACACCUCAGCUUUCUGGUCAUACGAGUUUCGGUUGGUUGUCGUAUUCUACAGAUGAAUGGUAAGAAUGUUAGAAGGUUAGAGCGCUGCAGCAGUCAUUCACUUCAUUUAAGAGUUUUAAUAUCAGAAUUAUAACUAUCAUAUGUGUUAUGCAAUAUGUCAGCAACUCUCCAGUGAAACUCCGAAUCUGGAUUGAUCUGAAGGACUGUGAAUUGCGCUCGCUUCUGAGUCCCGUCCCUGAAAAGCAGCAUGUCCAGCGACCCCCCUCCGCCCUACCCAGGGGGCCCCAGCGCUCCUCUUAUAGAGGAAAAGAAUGGACAGCCUCCAGUCUCUGGUAU